rnacentral:rRNA from 2 species
UCGUGUUGUGAAAUGUGNGGUUAAGUCCCGUAACGAGCGCAACCCCUGUCCUUAUUUGCCAGCGCGUAAUGGUGGGAACUCUAAGGAGACUGCCGGUGCUAAACCGGAGGAAGGUGGGGACGACGUCAAGUCAUCAUGGCCCUUACGGGAUGGGCUACACACGUGCUACAAUGGCAGGUACAGAGGGCAGCAAUACCGCGAGGUUGAGCGAAUCCCACAAAGCUUGUCGUAGUCCUGAUUGGAGUCUGCAACUCGACUCCAUGAAGUCGGAAUCGCUAGUAAUCGUAGAUCAGAAUGCUACGGUGAAUACGUUCCCGGGCCUUGUACACACCGCCCG